rnacentral:rRNA from 1 species
GACGGGGGGUCCUAGCGUUGCUCGGAAUCACUGGGCGUAAAGCGCACGUAGGCGGCUUGUUAAGUCAGGGGUGAAAUCCUGGAGCUCAACUCCAGAACUGCCUUUGAUACUGGCGAGCUUGAGUUCGGGAGAGGUGAGUGGAACUGCGAGUGUAGAGGUGAAAUUCGUAGAUAUUCGCAAGAACACCAGUGGCGAAGGCGGCUCACUGGCCCGAUACUGACGCUGAGGUGCGAAAGCGUGGGGAGCAAACAGG